rnacentral:tRNA from 1 species
GGAGGGAUGGCAGAGUGGUCGAUCGCGUCGGUCUUGAAAACCGAAGAGCCGAAAGGUUCCAGGGGUUCGAAUCCCCUUCCCUCCU